rnacentral:rRNA from 1 species
AGAGCAUCAGGUGGAUGCCUUGGCGACGGAAGGCGAUGAAAGACGCGGUAAGCUGCGAUAAGCCUCGGGGAGAAGCUAAACAUUCUUUGAUCCGUGGAUGUCUGAAUGGGGAAACCCGGCGGGAGUCAUGUCCCGUCAUCUGCAAGUGAAUACAUAGCUUGCAAGAAGCCAACUCAGGGAAGUGAAACAUCUCAGUACCUGAAGGAAAGGAAAUCAAACGAGACUCCCUCAGUAGCGGCGAGCGAAGGGGGAAUAGCCCAAACCGUCAGGAUUCGUCCUGGCGGGGUUGUAGGGCCGGCAUACGUGAUUCAUGACUAGGCAGGGGAAGGAAGCUGGAAAGCUUCGCCAGAGCGGGUGACAGCCCCGUACCCGAACCCGAAAGUGACACAGCCGGUACCUGAGUACUGCGAGGCACGUGAAACCUCGUGGGAAUCUGGGAGGACCAUCUUCCAAGGCUAAGUACUAACCGUCGACCGAUAGUGCACCAGUACCGUGAGGGAAAGGUGAAAAGAACCCCUGUCAGGGGAGUGAAAUAGAAUCUGAAACCUGAUGCUUACAAGCUGUGGGAGCCUCCUUGCUGGGGUGACCACGUGCCUUUUGCAUAAUGAGUCAGCGAGUUAAUCUGUACUGCGAGGUUAAGCGCAAGUGGAGCCGUAGCGAAAGCGAGUCUGAACAGGGCGUUUAGUAGUGCGGAUUAGACCCGAAACCGGGUGAGCUAUCCAUGAGCAGGUUGAAGCAAGGGUAAAGCCUUGUGGAGGACCGAACCCAUAACGGCUGAAAACGUUUGGGAUGACUUGUGGAUAGGGGUGAAAGGCCAAUCAAACCCGGUGAUAGCUGGUUCUCCCCGAAAUAUAUUGAGGUAUAGCCUCAUGGAUUGUCUACCGGAGGUAAAGCACUGACAGAGCUAGGGGUCCUACCAGAUUACCAAACUCUUUCAAACUCAGAAUGCCGGUCAGAUGUACCAUGGGAGUCAGACAGUGGGUGCUAAGGUCCAUUGUCGAGAGGGUAAGAGCCCAGAUCAACAGCUAAGGUCUCCAAAUCUAUGCUCAGUGGUUAAGGUGGUGACGUUGUAGAGACACCCAGGACGUUGGCUUAGAAGCAGCCAUCGUUUAAAGAAAGCGUAAUAGCUCACUGGUCUAAUGACGUUGCGCCGAAAAUGUAACGGGGCUAAGCAUAGUACCGAAGCUUUGAAUUCCGCGUAUGCGGUCUGGUAGGGGAGCGUUCUUCAUGGGCAGAAGGGGUGUCGUAAGGCUACCUGGACUGUGGAGAAGUGAUUAUGCUGACAUGAGUAACGAUAAAACGGGUGAAAAACCCGUUCGCCGUAAACCCAAGGUUUCCUGGGUAAAGGUAAUCUUCCCAGGGUUAGUCGGCCCCUAAGGCGAGGCUGAAAGGCGUAGCUGAUGGGAAACGUGUUAAUAUUCACGUACUUGUAUGUUCGCGCGAUGGAGGGACGCAGGAAGGUAGGCGGUCCGGGUGUUGGAAUACCCGGUGCAAGCGUGUAGGUGUGAAGUAUAGGCAAAUCCGUACUUCUUUACGCCGAGGCGCGAAUCCGUGACCGCAAGGUCUGAAGCCGUUGAGCCUCUACUGCCUAGAAAAGCUUCUAAGUAUAGGACAUGCAAACCGUACCGAAAACCAACUCAGGUGGGUGGGAUGAAUAAUCCAAGGCGCUCGAGAGAACUCUGGCCAAGGAACUCGGCAAAAUAACCCCGUACCUUCGGAAGAAGGGGUGCUCCUUCGGGUGAAAUUAAUUCACUUAAUGAGCCUGAGGGAGCCGCAGUGAAAUGGUGGUGGCGACUGUUUACUAAAAACAUAGGUCUGUGCGAAGUCUUAAAGACGACGUAUACGGACUGACGCCUGCCCGGUGCCGGAAGGUUAAAAGGAGGGGUCAGCGCAAGCGAAGCUCUGAAUUGAAGCCCCGGUAAACGGCGGCCGUAACUAUAACGGUCCUAAGGUAGCGAAAUUCCUUGUCGGGUAAGUUCCGACCUGCACGAAUGGCGUAACGAUCUCCACACUGUCUCGGCCAGAGACUCGGUGAAAUUGAAGUCGCGGUGAAAAUGCCGUGUACCCGCAGAAAGACGGAAAGACCCUGUGCACCUUUACUAUAGCUUGACAUUGGGAUUUGGAACUGCAUGUGUAGGAUAGGUGGGAGACUUUGAACCCUGUACGCCAGUAUGGGGGGAGUCAUUGUUGAAAUACCACCCUUGUUUUUUCAAGUCCCUAACCCUUUGCCGUUAUCCGGCAAGGGGACAGUGUCUGGUGGGUAGUUUGACUGGGGCGGUCGCCUAGAUCGGAA